rnacentral:rRNA from 1 species
GUAAGUUAAUAAGGGCGUACAGUGAAUGCCUUGGCAUUAGAAGUCGAAGAAGGACGCGAUAACCUGCGAUAAGCUUGGGGAAGCUGGACAUAAGCAUUGAUCCCAAGAUUUCCGAAUGGGGCAACCCGGCAUGAGUCAUAUCAUGUCAUCCAUAACUGAAUACAUAGGUUAUGAGAAGUGAUACCUAGGGAAUUGAAACAUCUUAGUACCUAGAGGAAAAGAAAGAGAAUCGAUUCCGUCAGUAGCGGCGAGCGAAAGCGGAGGAGCCCAAACCACCCUAGAGGUGGGGUUAGGACCACAACAUGGAUGCAUUUAUUCGAGGAGAAUGGCAUGGGAAAGCCAACCAAAGAGGGUGAUAGUCCCGUAUCUAUAGGAGUAAAUGACCUAGUGGAAUCCAGAGUACGGCGAGGCACGUGAAACCUUGUCGGAAUGAGUGCAGACCAUUGCAUAAGGCUAAAUACUAGCUAAUGACCGAUAGUGAACCAGUACCGUGAGGGAAAGGUGAAAAGAACCCCGGGAGGGGAGUGAAAAGAAUCUGAAACUGUAUGCCUACAAGAAGUCAGAGGACGUUAAAGUCUGAUGACGUGCCUAUUGAAGAAUGAGCCGGCGAGUUAUGUUAUCGUGCAAGGUUAAGCAGAAGAUGCGGAGCCGUAGCGAAAGCGAGUCUGAACAGGGCUGCAGUACGAUGACAUAGACCCGAAACGGGAUGAUCUAGCCAUGAGCAGGUUGAAAGUGGAGUACAAUCCACCGGAGGACCGAACCGACGUUCGUUGAAACGCCCGCGGAUGACUUGUGGCUAGGGGUGAAAUUCCAAUCGAAUUCCGUUAUAGCUGGUUCUCCCCGAAAUAGUUUUAGGACUAGCGUCUGUAUAAAGAUGUGUGGAGGUAGAGCACUGAAUGCCGGAUGGCCGAGUUUAUCGGUACUGACUGCAAUCAAACUCCGAAUGCCAUACAUUAUGACAGGCAGUCAGAGUGUGGGAGAUAAGUUCCAUGCUCAAAAGGGAAACAGCCCAGACCGUCAAAUAAGGUCCCUAAGUUUAUGCUAAGUGUCAAAGGAUGUGGGAACGCUUAAACAACUAGGAUGUUAGCUCAGAAGCAGCUACCAUUUAAAGAGUGCGUAACAGCUCACUAGUCGAGUAUUCCUGCGCCGAAAAUUUACCGGGGCUCAAGCAUAACACCGAAUUUACGGAUUGAAAACAAUUUCAGUGGUAGGGGAGCGUUCCAUUUGCGGCGAAGCGAUACCGUAAGGAGUCGUGGAGCGGAUGGAAGUGAGUAUGCCGGCGUGAGUAACGUAACUGGGUGAGAAUCCCAGUCGCCGUUUGACUAAGGUUUCCUGGGCAAGGUUCGUCCACCCAGGGUUAGUCGGGAGCUAAGACGAGGCCGAAAGGCGUAGCCGAUGAACAACAGGUUGAUAUUCCUGUACCCGUACAUAUGCGAUGUAGUGACAGAUGGAGCUAAUCAAUCCUCCUAAUGGAUGGAGGUCCAAGCACAAUACGUGUAUCCCAGGCAAAUCCGGGGUGCAAAAGCGGAAGGUGUGAUGGGGAUGAAAGCCUUCGGGCGAGUAGGAAGUUGAUGAUGCGCUGUCUCGAGAAAAGCUGCUAGCUUAAGUAUGUGCGGCCCGUACCGAGAACGAACACACGUGGUCAAGGAGAGUAUCCUAAGGCGAGCGAGAUAACUAUUGUUAAGGAACUCUGCAAAAUUACUUCGUAAGUUAGCAAGAAGAAGUGCUGCAGCAAUGCAGUCGCAGUGAAGAGGCCCAGGUAACUGUUUAACAAAAACACAGCUCUAUGCUAAGUCGCAAGACGAUGUAUAUGGGGUGAUGCCUGCCCAGUGCUGGAAGAUUAAAAGGAGGGGUUAGCAGCAAUGCGAAGCUCUGAUCUGAAGUCCCAGUGAACGGCGGCCGUAACUAUAACGGUCCUAAGGUAGCGAAAUUCCUUGUCAGGUAAGUUCUGACGCGCACGAAUGGUAUAAUAAU